rnacentral:rRNA from 1 species
UUUGACAUGGCAGGAACUUACCAGAGAUGGUUUGGUGCUCGAAAGAGAACCUGCACACAGGUGCUGCAUGGCUGUCGUCAGCUCGUGUCGUGAGAUGUUGGGUUAAGUCCCGCAACGAGCGCAACCCUUGCCAUUAGUUGCUACAUUCAGUUGAGCACUCUAAUGGGACUGCCGGUGACAAACCGGAGGAAGGUGGGGAUGACGUCAAGUCCUCAUGGCCCUUAUAGGUGGGGCUACACACGUCAUACAAUGGCUGGUACAAAGGGUUGCCAACCCGCGAGGGGGAGCUAAUCCCAUAAAGCCAGUCGUAGUCCGGAUCGCAGUCUGCAACUCGACUGCGUGAAGUCGGAAUCGCUAGUAAUCGUGGAUCAGAAUGUCACGGUGAAUACGUUCCCGGGUCUUGUACACACCGCCCGUCACACCAUGGGAGCGGGUCUCGCCAGAAGUAGGUAGCCUAACCGCAAGGAGGGCGCUUACCACGGCGGGGUUCGUGACUGGGGUGAAGUCGUAACAAGGUAAGCGUAGUGCU